rnacentral:rRNA from 1 species
UACGUAGGUGGCAAGCGUUGUCCGGAUUUAUUGGGUUUAAAGGGUGCGUAGGUGGUCUAUUAAGUCAGUGCUGAAAUAUCCCGGCUUAACCGGGAGGGUGGCAUUGAUACUGAUGGACUUGAGUAAAGUUGAGGUGGGCGGAAUUGACGGUGUAGCGGUGAAAUGCUUAGAUAUCGUCAAGAACACCUAUUGCGAAGGCAGCUCACUAAGCUUUAACUGACACUGAUGCACGAAAGUGUGGGGAUCAAACAGG